CCUACGGGAGGCAGCAGUGGGGAAUAUUGCACAAUGGGGGAAACCCUGAUGCAGCGACGCCGCGUGAGUGAAGAAGUAAUUCGUUAUGUAAAGCUCUAUCAGCAGGGAAGAAAAUGACGGUACCUGAGUAAGAAGCCCCGGCUAACUACGUGCCAGCAGCCGCGGUAAUACGUAGGGGGCAAGCGUUAUCCGGAUUUACUGGGUGGAAAGGGAGCGUAGACGGCAGUGCAAGUCUUGAGUGAAAGGCGGGGGCUCAACCCCCGGACUGCUCUGGAAACUGUACGGCUGGAGUGCAGGAGAGGUAAGUGGAAUUCCUAGUGUAGCGGUGAAAUGCGUAGAUAUUAGGAGGAACACCAGUGGCGAAGGCGGCUUACUGGACUGUAACUGACGUUGAGGCUCGAAAGCGUGGGGAGCAAACAGGAUUAGAUACCCUUGUAGUC
rnacentral:rRNA from 1 species